UACGUAGGGACCAAGCGUUGUCCGGAAUCAUUGGGCGUAAAGAGCGUGUAGGCGGCUUGUUAAGUCUUGCGUGAAAUCUCGGGGCUCAACCCCGAGCGGUCGUGAGAAACUGGCAGGCUAGAGUGCGGGAGAGGAGAGUGGAAUUCCUGGUGUAGCGGUGAAAUGCGCAGAUAUCAGGAAGAACACCCGUGGCGAAGGCGGCUCUCUGGGACGGUACUGGACGCUGAGACGCGAAAGCUAGGGUAGCAAACGGG
rnacentral:rRNA from 1 species